GAUGAACGCUGGCGGCGUGCCUAAUACAUGCAAGUCGAGCGAACGGACGAGAAGCUUGCUUCCCUGAUGUUAGCGGCGGACGGGUGAGUAACACGUAGAUAACCUACCUAUAAUACUGGGAUGACUUCGGGACACCAGAGCUAAUACCGGAUAAUAUUUUGAACGGCAUGGUUCAAAAGUGAAUGACGGUCUUGCUGUCUCUUAUAGAUGGAUUCGCGCUGGAUUAGCUAGUUGGUAAGGUAACGGCUCACCAAGGCGACGAUGCGUAGCCGAUCUGAGAGGAUGAUCAGCCACACUGGAACUGAGACACGGUCCAGACUCCUACGGGAGGCAGCAGUGGGGAAUAUUGGACAAUGGGCGCAAGCCUGAUCCAGCCAUACCGCGUGGGUGAAGAAGGCCUUCGGGUUGUAAAGCCCUUUUGUUGGGAAAGAAAAGCAGCAGGUUAAUACCCCGCUGUUCUGACGGUACCCAAAGAAUAAGCACCGGCUAACUUCGUG
rnacentral:rRNA from 1 species